GUUUAAUUUUUUUGUUCACUAAUUUGUUUAGGCGUGCACGUUUGUUGAUUCUGAAAAUGUUCUUCUAAAGCGUGAGAUUUGUUUGUUAAUUUUUUCCUUAUUAAAAUUUAAUUAGAAUAAGAUAUAAAUAUCAGUACAUUGUAGAAUUGUGUGUUUCAAAAUAUUUGUAAUCUAAUUACGUGUAUAAAUUUUAUGUUAAUUAUAUAUGUUUGUAAAAUAGAAAUAUGUAUUAUACAAAAUCUACUUAUGUGUAUAAAACUACUAUAAUGUUUUUAAAGAUAAUGAAUUUAAUAUUAUAUAUUAGAUAUGAACUAUAAUAGUUCAUUUCAGGGUUUUUUAUUUUGGUUAUAGAAUAGCUCAUUUCUGGUUUUUGUUAAAAGAUGUUUGUGAAAUUAGGGGCUGAUGAUGAAAAAGGUCAUGCUUUUGAUUUUAAAUUAUUUGUAUAAAAUUCCAUUUGCUUAU
rnacentral:lncRNA from 1 species